GAAAAAAAUUAGCAGUGUAAAUAGCACAAACAAAUGGAUCAAGUGUGCAAUUAUGAAUUUUGAUUCCACAACUUUUCGCGCGUUGUCUCGUGGCAGAAUUCUGGAGCUACUGCUACUCUCCUCUCUUCUAUCGGCUUGUCCAUAAAUACGCAAGGACCAUUGACUCUUCUUAUCACCUUCGCCAACCCAACACAACACACAGACAGAUGUUCAACUCAGACGCAGAAAACUGAAACGGCGCGCGGUUCAAGGAUAUCUCAGUUUUACCUGCUCAACCUUAACUAACUACCCAUCGCCUCGUUUUUUCAGUUUUUCUCUUUCCAAACAUGACCUCUGCAACCUUCAAAAUCGUACUAAAUUUCUUUCCAUUCCCAAAUCACAAUAAUUCUAACCCUAAUAAGAGCUGCAAAAUGAAAUCCUCUCUACUCUGUAACCACAAAUACAGCUCUAUUUUAAAUCUAAAUCCCUCAAUUCUGAAAUUGAAUAGUAGAAGGAAUGACUUGUCAGUUUCUUCUUUUGCGGAUACCGAGAAACCUGUGGGGUUCACCAACGCCAAGGAUAGGCUUCAACGGCUCGUUUCAGAAUUUAGGUCUCUAACGGAGCCGAUUGAUCGUGUUAAACGGCUUUUGGAUUACGCGGCUCGGCUCCCGCCAUUUGAUGAGUCGGCUCGCUCUCCCGGAAACCGAGUUAUGGGUUGUACGACUCAGGUUUGGCUUGAAGCAAAAAUGGACGAGAAAGGGAGAAUGAGAUUUAGAGCGGAUAGUGACUCGGAGAUUACUAAAGGUUUCAUUUCGUGUUUGAUUUCGUUGCUUGAUGGCGCGGAGCCCGAUGAAGUGGUUGCGGUAAAGGCGGAGGACCUGGCGGCAUUGAAUGUUGGCCUCUAUGGUAAAGCCCAAUCGAGAGUGAACACGUGGCAUAAUGUGUUGAUCAGUAUGCAGAGUAGGACCGAGGCUUUGGCUGCGGAGCGAAAUGAGAAGUGUCCAGUGGAGCCGCUUCCGUCUUUGGUUGUUAACGUCGACGGUAUCAGUGCUCAGGUCCGCAAAGAGGUGGAAAUGGGAAGUAGAGCCUAGGCAUGGGGAAGCGUGCAGCCUAGAACAAAUAUGGGUUUCUUGAAUCUGGGAUGGAGGAUCAUGGAUGCAGUGUGCAUGGCCUCUCUGGUUUUAAAUUUCCGGGAUAGAUAAAUCCUGUUGCUAAUUUCCUUCAGCAAUGGAAACAAAAACAAAAGCAAUGGACCAAAAGUGGCUUCCACCCAAAUAUAUUUCCUCAGGAAAAAGUUCGAGAGCUCUAGAUGGAAACCCUAACAAUUACCUUCAAGUUGUGUUGGAAACCAAGCAUGGUAAUUUCAAUUGUUAUAGCAUCUGACAGAUUGUUAAAUUCCUUCAAACCCUGUUCCAGGACAGAAAAUAUCAACAUUAUGCUACCUUUCAGUUUCACAAGAUACUGUAUCAAUGAUAUCAAGGAACCUUCCAGGGGACUAAAUACAAGUGGGAUGGGUGAUCUUUUGUGGUACCAAGGGGCAAGGUGCUCCAUCCAUGAAGACUUUGUGUACUGUCCUUUUAAUGUUGGUAUAUAUCUUUUAUGUUUCGUUGGAAAAGGAAAAAAAAAAUUGUUACAUCAAACAUUAUGCACGCAUGAGUUGUUAAUUGUGGCAUUGAAUUUGGAAUAUGCAGUGAAACAUGUCUUUGAUAGUGAUAA